GGAUCAUAGAUGGAGAGCUGGGAGGAAUCUUGGGACUCAUUUAGGAACCCUUCAUUUUACAAAGUCGGAAACUGAAGGAGGAAAAGACUGGAUCUAGGUCAUUACAGACAGGAGACAGCAGCGCCCCCAACCAUGGAACCAUGGAACCCCUAGAUCUGAGUAUGGAGGUAACCCUGAGUACUUCAAAACUAUGCUAUUGGAGGAAAAGCUCUACCCAACUGGAAAGACUUCGUUCCCAUAGGCCUGGUCCAGGUCAAUCUGCCCAACAUACGAGACCUUCCUCUGAGAAUACCAGAGCCUCACUCUGGCCAUGUGCCUGUUCUUACUCAUACAUGAUCCAUGGCUGGUCUACCUCCUUUUUUCUUCAGUCAUUUUGAUGGUGCCUCUCAUUCUUCUCAGGUAAUCAGUGACUACAUCUGUACAACAAGAACAAGCCUGUGAGACUUCCAGCUGCUUUCCAGGGUUAUGGCAACCAUUAACGAGAGAAAGCCAAACUCUCUAGGCUGAAGCUCUGUAUAAAGGAACAUGACUGAUUGUUUACCCAAAUGGGGCCUGUCAUGUCUCACAACCUCCCACAAUUAAUUUGUAGAAUUAAGCUGUAGACAUGACACAUCUAAUACCUUUUUGUAUUGGCACAGUGGUAAUAAAAAGAACUUUGGAAUAGGAUCCAAAGAAAUUUGUCUUUGAAUCUCGGCUCUGACACUUAGAGUACUAGCCGUGAGAAAUCACUGAAAUCUCUUUUUAAAAAAUAUUUAUUUAUACAUUUUGAGUUCUGAAUUGUCUCCCACUUUCCCUCCCAACCCUACAUUAGAGAAAGCCAACAUUUGAUAAAGAUAUUUAUAUGGAACCAGAAAAUACAUACUUCCAUUUAUCAAUUCUUUCCCUGGAGAUGGAGAGCAGCUUCCUUCAUAAAGUCCUUCGUGGUUGAUUUGAAUGUUCAUAUUACUGAGAAUAGCUUAGUCAUUCACAGUUACUCUUCAAAUAAUGCAGCUGUUAGUCUAUUCGACAUGCUCUUGGUUCUGCUCGUUUCAUUCUGCAUUAUUUCAUGCAAAUCUUUCCAUUUUUUCCUAAAACCAACCUCCUUGGCCUUUCUGACAGCACAGUAGUAUGCCAUCACAAUCUUAUACGACAAUUUAUUCAGCCAUUUCCCAAUUGAUGGGCAUCUCCUCAAUUUCUAGA